rnacentral:sRNA from 12 species
GAUCUAACUUCUGAAUGUACUUCAGAAUAUGAUCAUACAGAAUCCGUCCAAAGUAAAAAACUCCUAGUCAGAGUUACUUUGGACGGUUAUAUCUCGAAAGAGGUAUAGGCAUUCCCUACGGGGCUUGUC